rnacentral:lncRNA from 1 species
AAUGAAAUUCUUAAAGAAAUAUUAGAAUGAUCACAAAUUUUAUUCAAAUAUAUGUCAAUUCAACCUUAAUUUAAUUCUAGUUAAAACCCUAUUGAAUUUCACUCAACUUUAGAUCAAAUCUAAUUAAAUCUUAAACCUUAAUAAUUCCUAAACCCUAAGUCAAAUCCUAAACAAAUCUUAAAUUAAACCCUAUUCCAAAUCCUAAAUCCUAAACCAAAUCCUAAUCCAACCCUAAAUCCUAAACUAAAUCUUAAAUCAAAUCCUAACCAAAUCCUAAUCCAAAUCCUAAAUCAAACCCUAACCAAAUCCUAAACCCUAAUCCAAACCCUAAUCCAAACCCUAAUCCAAUCCUAAACUCUAAUCCAAAUCCUAAACCCUAAAUCAAACCUUAAAUCAAAUCCUAACCAAACUCUAGUCCAAACUCUAAUCCAAACUCUAAAUCAAAUCCUAGCCAAAUCCUAAACCCUAAUCCAAACCCUAAUCCAAAUCCUAAUCCAAUCCUUAACUCUAAUCCAAAUCAUAAACCCUAAACCAAACCUUAAAUCAAAUCCUAACCAAACCCUAAUCCAAACCCUAAAUCAAACCCUGACCAAAUCCUAAACCCUAAUCCAAAUCCUAAUCCAAAUCCUAAUCCAAACCCUAAACUGAACACUA